UACGUAGGGUGCAGGCGUUAAUCGGAAUUACUGGGCGUAAAGCGUGCGCAGGCGGUCUCUUAAGACAGGUGUGAAAUCCCCGGGCUUAACCUGGGAACUGCGCUUGUAACUGAGAGGCUUGAGUGUGGCAGAGGGGGGUGGAAUUCCACGUGUAGCAGUGAAAUGCGUAGAGAUGUGGAGGAACACCGAUGGCGAAGGCAGCCCCCUGGGCUAACACGUGACGCCUCGAUGCACGAAAGCGUGGGGAGCGAAACAAGGAUUGAGAAACCCGGG
rnacentral:rRNA from 1 species